rnacentral:tRNA from 1 species
GGCGGAGUAGCUCAGGUGGUUAGAGCAGCGGAAUCAUAAUCCGCGUGUCGGGGGGUCAAGUCCCUCCUCCGCUACCA